UGGGGAAUAUUGGACAAUGGGCGAAAGCCUGAUCCAGCCAUGCCGCGUGUGUGAAGAAGGUCUUCGGAUUGUAAAGCACUUUAAGUUGGGAGGAAGGGCAGUAAGCGAAUACCUUGCUGUUUUGACGUUACCGACAGAAUAAGCACCGGCGAACUCUGUGCCAGCAGCCGCGGUAAUACAGAGGGUGCAAGCGUUAAACGGAAUUACUGGGCGUAAAGGGCGCGUAGGUGGUUCGUUAAGUUGAAUGUGAAAGCCCCGGGCUCAACCUGGGCACUGCAUCCAACACAGGCGAGCUAGAGUAGGGCAGAGGGUGGUGGAAUUUCCUGUGUAGCGGUGAAAUGCGUAGAUAUAGGAAGGAACACCAGUGGCGAAGGCGACCACCUGGGCUCAUACUGACACUGAGGUGCGAAAGCGUGGGGAGCAAACAGG
rnacentral:rRNA from 1 species